rnacentral:lncRNA from 1 species
CGAAAGCUCUGCUCCUCGAGCUCUUUUAGAUAGUAUGUUCCAGGCCGAACUACCUCCUUGACUUCAUACGGGCCUUCCCAAUUCGGGGUAAAUUUUUCUUGAUUCUGAGGUUGUGAGACAGCGGCUCGCCGAAGUACCAGAUCCCCCGCUCUGAAGGCUUUGCUUUUGACCCAAGAAUUGUAGUAGCGGGCUACUUUCUACUUGUAAGCCACCAUCCAAACUCGAGCUGUCUU